rnacentral:sRNA from 1 species
AGAUGUGCGGUUGGGUUGAUCUUGUGACAUCUGCCGCCUCAUUGUUUGCCAGGGUUCAUUUGGCUGAUCUGGCUGUCUAGGGGCGUGGCCCCUUCCUUCCUUCCUCCUACUGCUGUGUGUGAGCUCCUCCUGAAGCUGUGUGUUGGGUGGGGUGCAAGAGGGUAAAUCUUGAUAGAGGAAGGCUGGUUUUUGGAGGAGGAUAUGGGAGCAGCUGUGUUUCCCCUGCUAGAUCCUCCAAGCUUUCACAAAUCCUAGAACACUUACUCUUUGGGCCUUUACAGACCAAGU